AUUUCUCCAGAUGCAUCGAAGGCAGACAAGCAAUCUGCAUAUUCUCUCCUCCUUGCUGAAAACAUCUGCGACAAGCUUGGCAUGAAGGUCCAAAAUCUUGUUGCAGAAAUUGUCGAUUCCAAAUUGGGUAAACAGAUUACAAGAAUCAAGCCUUCCCUCACUUACAUUGCCGCAGAGGAAGUAAUGAGUCUUGUCACUGCGCAAGUUGCAGAAAAUGUUCAAUUGAAUGAGGUUUGGAAAGAUAUUUUGAACGCCGAUGGAGAUGAAAUAUACGUUAAGGUAAUAAUUAGCUUCUUCUAAUAUAGAGGAU